CGGGGGGAGCAAGCGUUGUUCGGAUUUACUGGGCGUAAAGGGCGCGUAGGCGGCCACCGCAAGUCAGUUGUGAAAUCUCUGGGCUUAACCCAGAAAGGUCAACUGAUACUGCGGGGCUAGAGUGCAGAAGGGGCAACUGGAAUUCUCGGUGUAGCGGUGAAAUGCGUAGAUAUCGAGAGGAACACCUGCGGCGAAGGCGGGUUGCUGGGCUGACACUGACGCUGAGGCGCGAAAGCUAGGGGAGCGAACGGGAUUAGAUACCCCGGUAGUCCUAGCCUUAAACGAUGAAUGCUUGGUGUCUGGGGUUUUAUAGUCCCCGGGUGCCGUCGCUAACGCUUUAAGCAUUCCGCCUGGGGAGUACGGUCGCAAGACUG
rnacentral:rRNA from 1 species